GAGCCUGUGGCUCAAUGGUUAGAGUGUUUGAAUUCAGAUCAAAAGGCCAUGGGUUCG
rnacentral:tRNA from 1 species